UACGUAGGGGGCAAGCGUUGUCCGGAAUCAUUGGGCGUAAAGCGCGCGUAGGCGGCCCGGUAAGUCCGCUGUAAAAGUCCAGGGCUCAACCCUGGAAAGCCGGUGGAUACUGUCGGGCUAGAGUCCGGAAGAGGCGAGUGGAAUUCCUGGUGUAGCGGUGGAAUGCGUAGAUAUCAAGAGGAACACCUGCGGCGAAGGCGGGUUGCUGGGCCGACACUGACGCUGAGGCGCGAAAGCUAGGGGAGCGAACGGG
rnacentral:rRNA from 1 species